rnacentral:rRNA from 1 species
UACGUAGGGAGCGAGCGUUAUCCGGAUUUAUUGGGUGUAAAGGGUGCGUAGACGGGAAAUUAAGUUAGUUGUGAAAUCCCUCGGCUCAACUGAGGAACUGCAACUAAAACUGAUUUUCUUGAGUACUGGAGAGGAAAGUGGAAUUCCUAGUGUAGCGGUGAAAUGCGUAGAUAUUAGGAGGAACAGCAGUGGCGAAGGCGACUUUCUGGACAGAAACUGACGUUGAGGCGCGAAGGCGCGGGGAGCGAACAGG